CAAAAGGGCUUUUGCUAUUAAUGGCACAGGGUCCUCCUCUGCGGAAUCACAAUCAAGAGAUUUCGGAAGCAUAAUUUUUGAAACCGUGAGCUGUCUAAUUUCCACUGGAAGGACGCUCAC